AUGGCGGGAGUAGCGUCCCUCAACGCCGUGUCCCUGUUCGCGCCGUCGCCCCAGGCCCCGGGGGCGACCGCCGCCCGCGGCCGCCUCCUCGUCCCGGCGGCCCGUCGCUUCCCGUCGCUGCGGGCCGCGCGGCGCGUCGUCGCGGCGCGGGCGGCGCCCGUGGACGCCGACGACGAGUGGGGGAAGGAGCCGGCGGUGGGAGGGACGGCGGUGGCGGAGGCGCCCUCGGAGGCGGCCGCGGCCGCGAGCGAGGUGGCGGCGCUCAAGCUGAAGCUCAAGGCGGCGCUGUACGGGACGGAGCGCGGCCUGCGCGCGUCCAGCGAGACGCGGGCGGAGGUGGUCGAGCUCAUCACGCAGCUCGAGGCGCGCAACCCCACGCCGGCGCCCACCGAGGCGCUCACCCUCCUCAACGGCAAGUGGAUCCUCGCGUACACAUCAUUUUCGCAAUUGUUCCCACUGUUGGGGUCUGGAAGGCUACAAGCUCUUGUCAAGGUGGACGAAAUAUCACAGACUAUUGAUUCCGAGAACUUUGGGGUGCAGAACUGCAUCAAGUUUUCAGGACCUUUGGCGUCAACUUCAGUGUCCACCAAUGCCAAAUUUGAAAUUAGAAGCCCCAAACGUGUACAGAUCAAAUUUGAAGAAGGCAUCAUCGGCACUCCACAGCUGACUGAUUCCAUCGUACUGCCAGAGAAGUUUGAAUUCUUUGGACAGAACAUUGACCUGAGCCCGUUGAGCGGCAUAUUUACUUCGAUCGAGAACGCAGCGUCCUCCGUCGCCAAGACCAUCUCCGGUCAGCCUCCGCUGAAGAUUCCUUUCAGGAGCGAGAGCGCUGGGUCCUGGCUGCUCACAACCUACCUUGAUGCUGAGCUUAGAAUCUCAAGAGGAGACGGCAGCAGCAUCUUUGUGCUGUUCAAGGAAGGAAGCUCGCUCUCAAUAUAG
rnacentral:rRNA from 1 species